rnacentral:rRNA from 1 species
AACGAACGCUGGCGGCAGGCUUAACACAUGCAAGUCGAACGCCCCGCAAGGGGAGUGGCAGACGGGUGAGUAACGCGUGGGAACAUACCCUUUUCUACGGAAUAGCUCUGGGAAACUGGAAUUAAUACCGUAUACGCCCUACGGGGGAAAGAUUUAUCGGGGAAGGAUUGGCCCGCGUUGGAUUAGCUAGUUGGUGGGGUAAAGGCCUACCAAGGCGACGAUCCAUAGCUGGUCUGAGAGGAUGAUCAGCCACAUUGGGACUGAGACACGGCCCAAACUCCUACGGGAGGCAGCAGUGGGGAAUAUUGGACAAUGGGCGCAAGCCUGAUCCAGCCAUGCCGCGUGAGUGAUGAAGGCCUUAGGGUUGUAAAGCUCUUUCAUCGAUGAAGAUAAUGACGGUAGUCGGAGAAGAAGCCCCGGCUAACUUCGUG